rnacentral:lncRNA from 1 species
AUGGUAAAAGGUGGAAAGCGAUAUUCUUCAAUGAGCAAUGAUGGCAAAUGGUUUGCUCAUCCAGUUUUACCAGAAAAUGAAACAAGGAGUCGUGAGACUUGUACAAGCACUGGGAUCAUGCUGACUCAGGUUAAAUCAUCAUUGCCUCAGGAUUUAAACUUGGAGCGCUAUCCUAAAUGGAAAACUCAGCAGGAAUCCAGAGAGUAUCCAUUCUCAGGCCAUGACAACAAGCAUUCCUUAAAAGACAACAUCUCUGUAUUCACUCAAGGUGUGGGACGCAGGAAGUGUCUUGACGAUCACCGACAGCACAACUCCCACUUCUGCCUGUGCCGUGAUGAAGAUGACAGCAGCUCUAGGGAGAACAUCACGGUCUACCAGACUGACUUUAUGGUGAAGCAGGCUGUUAAUGGUCCAACCAGCACCAGACGGUUCCCCCGCAACCACCAGCAGAAGUCUGCAGAGGCAGCUUUGGCACAAGCAGCGGAGCAAUUCAUGUGGUUCGGACGACAUGACUCUGACCUCAAAGACACCCUGCAGGCGCUGGCAGCUAACAACUACUCAGCACCUUCCAAGCACUGA